rnacentral:rRNA from 1 species
AUAACUUGAGAGUUUGAUCCUGGCUCAGAACGAACGCUGGCGGUAUGCUUAACACAUGCAAGUCGAACGAGAAAACCACUUCGGUGGCAAGUAAAGUGGCGCACGGGUGAGUAACGCGUAGAUAAUCUACCCUCUAGUCCGGGACAACUUCUCGAAAGGGGAGCUAAUACCAGAUAAUACAUUGAAUCGAGUGUUUUAAUGUUGAAAGGUUUACUGCUAGGGGAUGAGUCUGCGUACCAUUAGCUUGUUGGUAGGGUAAUGGCCUACCAAGGCAACGAUGGUUAGCGGGUCUGAGAGGAUGAUCCGCCACACUGGAACUGAGACACGGUCCAGACUCCUACGGGAGGCAGCAGUGGGGAAUUUUGCGCAAUGGGCGAAAGCCUGACGCAGCAAUACCGCGUGAGUGAAGAAGGCCUUUGGGUCGUAAAGCUCUUUUCUAGGGGAAGAUAGUGACGGUACCCUAGGAAUAAGCACCGGCUAACUCCGUGCCAGCAGCCGCGGUAAUACGGAGGGUGCAAGCGUUGUUCGGAUUUACUGGGCGUAAAGGGUGCGUAGGCGGCAUAGCAAGUUAAGGGUGAAAUCCCGGGGCUCAACUCCGGAACUGCUCUUAAAACUGCUGAGCUAGAGAUGGUCAGAGGCGGGUGGAAUUCCUAGUGUAGAGGUGAAAUUCGUAGAUAUUAGGAGGAACACCGGUGGCGAAGGCGGCCCGCUGGGACUUAUCUGACGCUAAGGCACGAAAGCAUGGGGAGCAAACGGGAUUAGAUACCCCGGUAGUCCAUGCCGUAAACGAUGAAUACCGGCUGUUUGAGAAAUCGACCUCUCAAGUGGCGCAGCUAACGCGUUGAGUAUUCCGCCUGGGGAGUACGGUCGCAAGACUAAAACUCAAAGGAAUUGACGGGGGCCCGCACAAGCGGUGGAGCAUGUGGUUUAAUUCGACGCAACGCGAAGAACCUUACCUGGGUUUGACAUCCUUGGCCCGCCUGAGAGAUCAGGUUUUCCCUUCGGGGACCAAGUGACAGGUGCUGCAUGGCUGUCGUCAGCUCGUGUCGUGAGAUGUUGGGUUAAGUCCCGCAACGAGCGCAACCCUUGUCCUUAGUUGCCAGCACGUAAUGGUGGGAACUCUAAGGAGACUGCCGGUGUUAAGCCGGAGGAGGGUGGGGAUGACGUCAAGUCCUCAUGGCCUUUAUAUCCAGGGCUACACACGUGCUACAAUGGCACCUACAAAGAGCAGCUAAGCCGCGAGGCCACGCGAAUCUCAAAAAAGGUGUCUCAGUUCGGAUUACAGUCUGCAACUCGACUGUAUGAAGUUGGAAUCGCUAGUAAUCGUAGAUCAGCGUGCUACGGUGAAUACGUUCCCGGGCCUUGUACACACCGCCCGUCACACCAUGGGAGUUGACAUUGGCAGAAUACAUUGAGCUAACCUUCGGGAAGCAGGUGUGCAAGCUAGUGUUGGUGACUGGGGUGAAGUCGUAACAAGGUAGCAGUAGGAACCUGCGGCUGGAUUACCU